AUAAAAACUAAAUAUUCAUCUCGUAUAACAUUGGAAAUAAGGUCCAAAAGUUUCUACCAGACUACCGUAAACAGUCUGACUACGAGGGUUAAAUAAGCAAUA
rnacentral:ncRNA from 21 species